rnacentral:rRNA from 1 species
GCAUAUCAAUAAGCAGAGGAAAAGAAACCAACAGGGAUUGCCCCAGUAACGGCGAGUGAAGCGGCAAGAGCUCAAAUUUGAAAGCUGGCUCCUUCGGGGUCCGCAUUGUAAUUUGUAGAGGAUGCUUCGGGAGCGGUCCCCAUCUAAGUGCCCUGGAACGGGACGUCAUAGAGGGUGAGAAUCCCGUAUGGGAUGGGGUGUCCGCGCCCGUGUGAAGCUCCUUCGACGAGUCGAGUUGUUUGGGAAUGCAGCUCAAAAUGGGUGGUAAAUUUCAUCUAAAGCUAAAUAUUGGCCGGAGACCGAUAGCGCACAAGUAGAGUGAUCGAAAGAUGAAAAGCACUUUGAAAAGAGAGUUAAAAAGCACGUGAAAUUGUUGAAAGGGAAGCGCUUGCGACCAGACUCGCUCGCGGGGUUCAGCCGGCAUUCGUGCCGGUGUACUUCCCCGCGGGCGGGCCAGCGUCGGUUUGGGCGGUCGGUCAAAGGCCCUCGGAAGGUAACGCCCCUAGGGGCGUCUUAUAGCCGAGGGUGCAAUGCGACCUGCCUAGACCGAGGAACGCGCUUCGGCUCGGACGCUGGCAUAAUGGUCGUAAGCGACCCGUCUUGAAACACGGACC